rnacentral:rRNA from 1 species
AGAGUUUGAUCCUGGCUCAGGAUGAACGCUAGCGGCAGGCUUAACACAUGCAAGUCGAGGGGUAACAUGGUCUUCGGACUGAUGACGACCGGCAAACGGGUGCGGAACACGUACGCAACAUACCUUCUACAGGGGGAUAGCCCGAAGAAAUUCGGAUUAACACCCCGUAGUAUAACAUUUAGGCAUCUUAAUGUUAUUAAAAAUUUAUUGGUAGGAGAUUGGCGUGCGUCCCAUUAGAUAGUUGGCGGGGUAACGGCCCACCAAGUCGACGAUGGGUAGCUGGUGUGAGAGCACGACCAGCCACACGGGCACUGAGACACGGGCCCGACUCCUACGGGAGGCAGCAGUGAGGAAUAUUGGUCAAUGGACGCAAGUCUGAACCAGCCAUGCCGCGUGGAGGAUGACAGCCUUCUGGGUUGUAAACUUCUUUUAUAUGGGAAGAACAGCACGGUUUCUACUGUGUCCGACGGUACCAUAUGAAUAAGCACCGGCUAACUCCGUGCCAGCAGCCGCGGUAAUACGGAGGGUGCAAGCGUUAUCCGGAUUUACUGGGUUUAAAGGGUGUGUAGGCGGAUAUUUAAGUCAGAGGUGAAAUCUCCGGGCUCAACUCGGAAACUGCCUUUGAUACUAUUUAUCUUGAAUUUCGUUGAGGUUGGCGGAAUA